CCUACGGGUGGCAGCAGUCGAGAAUCAUUCACAAUGGGGGAAACCCUGAUGGUGCGACGCCGCGUGGGGGAAUGAAGGUCUUCGGAUUGUAAACCCCUGUCAUGUGGGAGCAAAUUAAAAAGAUAGUACCACAAGAGGAAGAGACGGCUAACUCUGUGCCAGCAGCCGCGGUAAUACAGAGGUCUCAAGCGUUGUACGGAAUCACUGGGCGUAAAGGGUGCGUAGGCUGUUUCGUAAGUCGGGUGUGAAAGGCGCGGGCUCAACCCGCGGCAGGCAGAUGAUACUGCGGGACUAGAGUAAUGGAGGGGGAGCCGGAAUUCUCGGUGUAGCAGUGAAAUGCGUAGAUAUCGCGAGGAACACUCGUGGCGAAGGCGGGUUCCUGGACAUUAACUGACGCUGAGGCACGAAGGCCAGGGGAGCGAAAGGGAUUAGAUACCCCUGUAGUC
rnacentral:rRNA from 1 species